rnacentral:rRNA from 1 species
GGCGAACGCUGGCGGCGUGCUUAACACAUGCAAGUCGAACGGAAAGGCCCUGCUUUUGUGGGGUGCUCGAGUGGCGAACGGGUGAGUAACACGUGAGUAACCUGCCCUUGACUUUGGGAUAACAUCAGGAAACUGGGGCUAAUACCGGAUAGGAGCUCCUGCUGCAUGGUGGGGGUUGGAAAGUUUCGGCGGUUGGGGAUGGACUCGCGGCUUAUCAGCUUGUUGGUGGGGUAGUGGCUUACCAAGGCUUUGACGGGUAGCCGGCCUGAGAGGGUGACCGGCCACAUUGGGACUGAGAUACGGCCCAGACUCCUACGGGAGGCAGCAGUGGGGAAUAUUGCACAAUGGGCGGAAGCCUGAUGCAGCAACGCCGCGUGCGGGAUGACGGCCUUCGGGUUGUAAACCGCUUUCGCCUGUGACGAAGCGUGAGUGACGGUAAUGGGUAAAGAAGCACCGGCUAACUACGUG